AGUCAGUCAUGAGACUGAUGA
rnacentral:rRNA from 1 species